rnacentral:rRNA from 1 species
AGAGGAGCUCUUCUACGGCGAGGUUGGCGAUGAGGACUAAGUCGUAACAAGGUAUCCGUACUGGAAGGUGCGGAUGGAUCACCUCCUUU